rnacentral:lncRNA from 1 species
UUGUUUUUGGAAAGAGCGCUAUACAAUGUUAAUUUCUUCACUGAUGAGUCAAUGGAUGAAUGAAAGGAUGUCUUCUUUAAACUGCUGCACGUUGGUGGGAUAUGAUGCUAGAAGGGACCUCAGGGAUGAUUCCAGGCCAGAAUGUUGACGGCUCCCAACCAAAGAGAAAAAUUCAGAUUAUAAUGAAGAAGCUGAGGGCGAGGCCACUGUGCUUCCCCAAGGUUGCUGUAUGAGUUGGGGUGGAAAUGGGCCAGCUCCAGCCUUCUGCCUCCCAGCCUGGCUUCUUGUCCUCCACCAGCUGUCACUCGGAAAGUGAACAGAGAAGCCCUUGCCACUAUAGUGGACAAGGGAAACUGUGGAUACAGAUUCCAGCAGUGAGAAAGGACAUGUUUUCCCAGGACAUGCACUCAUAAAUCUGUAUCAGUCACUAACAAUCUCGGGAUGAACAAGUUCACUAUUGUCGACUUUGGAAACUAGCUAGGAGCUGGAAUUCUGAUGGGGAAAUAAACAUCAUUUUAGAUCCAGGAAGUUCAGAAUGAAAAUGAAAAAGCAGAUCUAGAUGGAAUGCUUCUAGAAGGCAAAGGAAGGUGCAGUGGACAGAGGUGGUGUCCAGGCCCUGGCACUGAUAUGGGGUCUCACUCUGUC